rnacentral:lncRNA from 1 species
AGAGAUUGGCGUUUUGUCAGCGGCAGCAUUCGGUAAAUUGGAUUAAAUCCACACGGAGGCCAACCGGUCUCUCGAGGGUUUUCCCCCCAGCAUGAAUAUUGAUGCAUGGGUUUCAUGCAGGGCACAUAAUAAGAGCUCUUAACCUCUCUCUAUCGCUGAAUCCCUGUCAACGGCAAAGGCCUCAAACCAGCAAUCCCUAAAAGUCACUUGAAGAUAAAACAUCAUCAAAAUAGCAGCAAGGGGUCGGCUAAAUGAUUUCUUUUCAUCGCAAUAGUGUCCAAUCUCCUACCGAAACUCCACAAGGAUCAAGUUCCAAAAUACAACAGGUCCGUGAUAGUGAGUGGGACCUCUAAUGCAUGUUGGCAGCUGUGUUGUACAGCUAGCUGGUCAUGAUAUCUGGCACCAAAUGUGCCAUCUGUGCGGAGAUACACCAUGCUCAGCACGGAAGGAAAUGGGAAAUGACAAUAAUCACGUUCCCAUUUGGAGAAUGUAGAACCAGAGGCUACAGGUGGAUGCUGGGGAGGAGGUGCAGCUUUUUGAAAUGCUAUAUGAACAGCAGCAUCAGCAACAAACGACAGCAUAGCUUUCAGAAUAUUUGGAGUGGCUCUUUAAUCCUUUCAUGCAAUCAGCAAACAGAUGAAUCACAGAGGAGUCCUGAAUAUUAAAUUCAGAGGCCAGAAACCCACUUCAGGCACUGAUCAGAGGACCCACUCCAUGAACACAAAAUUACCAGAGAAAGUCAACAUGAGCACACUGUGAUGGAGAAGGUAGAUUCAACACCACAACACAUCUGAGUCCAUUCAUCUUGCCUGGUUGCACAGCAGGAAAACAGCAGCCUAGCGAGGCGAAGAGCAACUGACUCCGCACCAGUUCCCCAGCAUUGGAUUAAUCAUACUAACUUUACCAGAACUAAUCCAUACUUCACAAGCAAGACGCUGGUUGCUUGCCUUUCCUGUAGCCGUGCCUCAGUCUGCAUUCUUAUCUGUGUGAUGAAGUGCCUCAUCCUUUUCACUGGAAAGUAAGAAGGAACUUGUUGUUUACUUCCUACUGAGAGCAGAGGAUUGGUAUAAGUGGUGGAAAAGCAUGUAUGUGUGGAUAAAAUGUUAAUUUCUGUCUUCUGUCCUUAAAGAUCCCCUCCAGCGAGGUAUUACAACACAUACAAAUAGUCUGGUUGGAACGAUAAUGGGUCUGAUAUGUUUUUUCUUUAAAAGAAAAUCCAUAUUAAAAUCCUUAAAAAUUCCAGAAUAUAUGAAUAUGUAAAUGUUGUUUUUUUCUAAAGGUUUCCUGCUGGACACAAGAUGUCUCCUCCUUUACUGUAAAGCCCAAUAUCAGUGUAUGUGCACUGGAGGCUGCCAGUUUCUACAUCACACUUGUGUAAGUUGCAAAAAGGACUGUAUAAAAUAAACUGUAAAUAACUGUAUAAAUAAUGAAUCCUAUAUUCAGCUGAUUAUACACUAACAAACAUAAUUAUGCAUAUUAUUUAAAAUUUCUGCCCAUAGAUCCUCCUAAAUGUUAAACACUGGAC